rnacentral:rRNA from 1 species
GAUGAACGCUGACAGAAUGCUUAACACAUGCAAGUCAACUUGAAUUUGGGUUUUUAACUUAGAUUUGGGUGGCGGACGGGUGAGUAACGCGUAGAGAACUUGCCUCACAGUUAGGGACAACAUUUAGAAAUGAAUGCUAAUACCUGAUAUUAUGGUUAUAGGGCAUCCUAUAACUAUGAAAGCUAUAAGCACUGUGAGAGAGCUUUGCGUCCCAUUAGCUAGUUGGAGAGGUAACAGCUCACCAAGGCGAUGAUGGGUAGCCGGCCUGAGAGGGUGAACGGCCACAAGGGGACUGAGACACGGCCCUUACUCCUACGGGAGGCAGCAGUGGGGAAUAUUGGACAAUGGACCGAGAGUCUGAUCCAGCAAUUCUGUGUGCACGAUGAAGUUUUUCGGAAUGUAAAGUGCUUUUCAGUGGGAAGAAAGAAAUGACGGUAC